rnacentral:rRNA from 1 species
UGGGGAAUAUUUCACAAUGGGGGAAACCCUGAUGCAGCGACGCCGCGUGAGCGAAGAAGGUUUUCGAAUCGUAAAGCUCUGUCCUAUGAGAAGAUAAUGACGGUAUCAUAGGAGGAAGCCCCGGCUAAAUACGUGCCAGCAGCCGCGGUAAUACGUAUGGGGCGAGCGUUGUCCGGAAUUAUUGGGCGUAAAGGGUACGUAGGCGGUCUAUUAAGUCAGGUGUGAAAGCGUGAGGCUUAACCUCAUUAAGCACUUGAAACUGAUAGACUUGAGUGAAGGAGAGGGAAGUGGAAUUCCUAGUGUAGCGGUGAAAUGCGUAGAUAUUAGGAGGAAGACCGGUGGCGAAGGCGACUUUCUGGACUUUGACUUACGCUCAGGUACGAAAGCGUGGGGAGCAAACAGG